rnacentral:misc_RNA from 1 species
GUUCUUCGACCGAGACGACAUAUAAGGAGACCUGGUUGUGGCACAUGACUUAUUUUUAUACUUGUCUUAUUUAAUAUAUUAAAUAUGUUGCUACUUUUAUUUUUGUUUUAUUAUAUUAUAUCUUUUAAACGUUCUGCUACUUUAUAUACUUCUCUUAAUUCAUAUCUUCAAUUUUUCUUUUAUAUCUACAACAUUUGCUUCUU